rnacentral:rRNA from 1 species
GACGAACGCUGGCGGCGUGCUUAACACAUGCAAGUCGAGCGGUAAGGCCCUUUCGGGGGUACACGAGCGGCGAACGGGUGAGUAACACGUGGGUGACCUGCCCUCAGCUCUGGGAUAAGCCUGGGAAACCGGGUCUAAUACCGGAUAUGACUCCAUGACGCAUGUUGUGGGGUGGAAAGCCUUGUGCGGCUGAGGAUGGGCCCGCGGCCUAUCAGCUUGUUGGUGGGGUGAUGGCCUACCAAGGCGACGACGGGUAGCCGGCCUGAGAGGGCGACCGGCCACACUGGGACUGAGACACGGCCCAGACUCCUACGGGAGGGCAGCAGUGGGGAAGUCUUGCGCAAUGGGCGAAAGCCUGACGCAGCGACGCCGCGUGAGGGAUGACGGCCUCGGUU